rnacentral:rRNA from 1 species
AUUGAACGCUGGCGGCAGGCCUAACACAUGCAAGUCGAACGGUAACAGGAAGCAGCUUGCUGCUUUGCUGACGAGUGGCGGACGGGUGAGUAAUGUCUGGGAAACUGCCUGAUGGAGGGGGAUAACUACUGGAAACGGUAGCUAAUACCGCAUAACGUCGCAAGCCCAAAGAGGGGGACCUUCGGGCCUCUUGCCAUCGGAUGUGCCCAGAUGGGAUUAGCUAGUAGGUGGGGUAACGGCUCACCUAGGCGACGAUCCCUAGCUGGUCUGAGAGGAUGACAGGCCACACUGGAACUGAGACACGGUCCAGACUCCUGCGGGAGGCAGCAGUGGGGAAUAUUGCACAAUGGGCGCAAGCCUGAUGCAGUCAUGCCGCGUGUAUGAAGAAGGCCUUCGGGUUGUAAAGUACUUUCAGCGGGGAGGAAGGGAGUAAAGUUGAUACCUAUGCUCAUUGACGUUACCCGCAGAAGAAGCACCGGCUAACUCCGUG